CCUAACACAUGCAAGUCGAGCGGUAACAGGAAGAAGCUUGCUUCUUCGCUGACGAGUGGCGGACGGGUGAGUAAUGUCUGGGAAGCUGCCUGAUGGAGGGGGAUAACUACUGGAAACGGUAGCUAAUACCGCAUAAUGUCGCAAGACCAAAGAGGGGGACCUUCGGGCCUCUUGCCAUCGGAUGUGCCCAGAUGGGAUUAGCUAGUAGGUGGGGUAACGGCUCACCUAGGCGACGAUCCCUAGCUGGUCUGAGAGGAUGACCAGCCACACUGGAACUGAGACACGGUCCAGACUCCUACGGGAGGCAGCAGUGGGGAAUAUUGCACAAUGGGCGCAAGCCUGAUGCAGCCAUGCCGCGUGUAUGAAGAAGGCCUUCGGGUUGUAA
rnacentral:rRNA from 1 species